UGGUUUAUGUAUCAAGAAGAUUCUAAUGAAGAGUGGAUUGUUAUGUGGCAGAUUAAACAACUUAAUGAGCCUACUGAAGAUAAGAUAACUGAGUGGAAUACCGGAGGGCUUCUCACCAGAAUUGAGGGCUUCAGAGGUUUUAUUCCAAAGCAGGAGAUGGUGAAGAAAGUGAAUAGUUUCACAGAGUUGAAGGAAAACUUAAAAGCAAGAUUUCUUUUUCCGCUGAAUUGCAGUAAAGCUUUUUGGCUUCACUGUUCUGUGUUUGCUUAGGCUUCUUUGUGUUUCAGGUAGGUCGUAGACUGCUUGUGCAGAUUACGUGAUUGAAUGAAUACAAAAACGACUUGACACAUAAUUAAAAAACAUCCUGGAGAAGCUGUACCUUCGAGAAGGACCUCCUGGAUGGAACCUGUUGC